GCCCGAGUGACGGAAUGGCAGACGUGGCGGUCUCAAAAACCGUUGUUGAAAGACGUGCGAGUUCGAAUCUCGCCUCGGGCACCA
rnacentral:tRNA from 3 species